GGCCCUGUAGCUCAGUUGGUAGAGCAUGGUGCUUGCAACGCCAAGAUAGUGGGUUUGAUUCCCGGGACCA
rfam:Salmo salar isolate Sally breed double haploid chromosome ssa14, whole genome shotgun sequence.